GACGAACGCUGGCGGCGUGCUUAACACAUGCAAGUCGAGCGGAAAGGCCCUUCGGGGUACUCGAGCGGCGAACGGGUGAGUAACACGUGAGCAAUCUGCCCUUAGCUUCGGGAUGGCUCCGGGAAACCGGAAUUAAUACCGGAUAUGACCUCGGCCGACAUCAGCCGUGGUGGAAAGAUUUAUCGGCUAAGGAUGAGCUC
rnacentral:rRNA from 1 species